rnacentral:rRNA from 1 species
AAUGAACGCUGGCGGCAGGCCUAACACAUGCAAGUCGAACGGAUCCUUCGGGAUUAGUGGCGGACGGGUGAGUAACGCGUGGGAACAUACCCUUUGGUACGGAAUAGCCUCGGGAAACUGGGAGUAAUACCGGAUGUGGUCGAGAGACGAAAGAUUUAUCGCCAAAGGAUUGGCCCGCGUUGGAUUAGGUAGUUGGCGGGGUAAUGGCCUACCAAGCCGACGAUCCAUAGCUGGUUUGGGAGGAUGAUCAGCCACACUGGGACUGAGACACGGCCCAGACUCCUACGGGAGGCAGCAGUGGGGAAUCUUAGACAAUGGGGGAAACCCUGAUCUAGCCAUGCCGCGUGAUCGAUGAAGGCCUUAGGGUUGUAAAGAUCUUUCAGGUGGGAAGAUAAUGACUGUACCACCAGAAGAAGCCCCGGCUAACUCCGUGCCAGCAGCCGCCGCAG